GACGAACGCUGGCGGCGUGCUUAACACAUGCAAGUCGAACGCUGAAGCUCAGCUUUUGUUGGGUGGAUGAGUGGCGAACGGGUGAGUAACACGUGAGUAACCUGCCUCCUUCUUUGGGAUAACGCCCGGAAACGGGUGCUAAUACUGGAUAUUCACUGGUCUUCGCAUGGGGGUUGGUGGAAAGGGUUUUUCUGGUGGGGGAUGGGCUCGCGGCCUAUCAGCUUGUUGGUGGGGUGAUGGCCUACCAAGGCUUUGACGGGUAGCCGGCCUGAGAGGGUGACCGGUCACAUUGGGACUGAGAUACGGCCCAGACUCCUACGGGAGGCAGCAGUGGGGAAUAUUGCACAAUGGGCGCAAGCCUGAUGCAGCGACGCCGCGUGAAGGAUGGAGGCCUUCGGGUUGUGAACCUCUUUCGCUCAUGGUCAAGCCGCAACAAUGGUUGUGGUGAGGGUAGUGGGUAAAGAAGCGCCGGCUAACUACGUG
rnacentral:rRNA from 1 species